rnacentral:lncRNA from 1 species
GCCUUAUUAAAUGUCAAAAUUAAAAGCUCGAACACAUCAAAAGAAUGGGAAAACAACUGUCUCAUUCCUGACUAAGUUGGAUAUUUCACUAUGUAUAAAUGAGUGCAUUAAACUUGGUUUUAUAGAUAGCUUAAUCUCUCAAUUAUACAUGUAUGGCGAUCGCAUGAAAUUCCAUUGUAUUGAAAACAAUAAUGUGUGAGAAAACCAAACAGACAUAAUACAUGUUGUAUUUAGUCUCAUUUUUUUUAAACAUAAAUAAAGCUGUUAGUUUUCUUGUUAGAAUUUGUUUGAUUUUUCACUUCGGGGCCUUUUAUAGCUUACUAUGCGGUAUGGGCGUUGUUCAUUGUUAAAGGCCAUACGGUGACAUAUGGUUACUUGCGGAGAGUUGUAUCAUUGGCAAUCAUACGAAAUCUUCUUUUUUUUCUAUGAUAGGAAACAAGGUACAAAUGGGGUACAAAAGUCAACACUCUCGUUUUCUGGAACAUUACUGGAAAC